rnacentral:rRNA from 1 species
ACGGAAGGCAGCAGUGGGGAAUAUUGGGCAAUGGGCGAAAGCCUGACCCAGCAACGCCGCGUGAGGGAAGAAGGUUUUCGGAUUGUAAACCUCUGUCCUUGGUGACGAAGGAAGUGACGGUAGCCAAGGAGGAAGCCCCGGCUAACUACGUGCCAGCAGCCGCGGUAAUACGUAGGGGGCGAGCGUUGUCCGGAAUGACUGGGCGUAAAGGGCGUGUAGGCGGCGCUGUAAGUCCGGAGUGAAAGUCCUGCUUUCAAGGUGGGAAUUGCUUUGGAGACUGCAGAGCUUGAGUACGGAAGAGGUAAGUGGAAUUCCCGGUGUAGCGGUGAAAUGCGUAGAGAUCGGGAGGAACACCAGUGGCGAAGGCGACUUACUGGGCCGUAACUGACGCUGAGGCGCGAUGGCGUGGGGAGCAAACAGGAUUAGAUACCCUGGUA